CACAAGUUAAGGAUGACUUAACUUGAACUCCUAAAACUUUUCUUUUUCAUAAUAAUCUCCCUUUAGACCACCAAAUUAGGUGGUCUUUUU
rnacentral:sRNA from 1 species